CUGUCUGCAACAAAUCAUACUGAGUGGGUGUGGAGUCUUUGUUUGCAACUUUGUAACUUCACUCCAGCCUCUGAAUGGUUGCUGUUCACAACCAAUCAGACUGAUUGUGGGCUACCACUUCAGUUACAGAAGGCGAGCAUCAAGUGGCCAAUGGGAAAUUUCUAGAGGCCAUUUGAACCCAAGAAGAUUCUGUAUCCAGGCCCUUGAGCCGCCGCUGGGGUCCAUUCCCAAACUGUGGAGUGUACUUUUGCUUUCAAUAAAUCCAUGCUUUGAUUCUUCUGUUGCUUCAUUCUUUCUUUGCUUUGCUUUGCUGGGUGUUUUGUUCAAUUCUUUGUUGAAAACACCAAGAACCUGAACAACUUGCAGUCACAACCCUCUACUGGUGACAGUGGGAUGGAGGUGUA